rnacentral:rRNA from 1 species
UACAGGGGGCGCGAGCGUUGCUCGGAAUCACUGGGCGUAAAGCGAACGCAGGCGGACUGUUAAGUCGAAUGUGAAAGCCCGGGGCUCAACCCCGGAAGUGCAUUCGAAACUGGCAGUCUUGAGUACGGGAGAGGUGGGUGGAAUUCCUGGUGUAGAGGUGAAAUUCGUAGAUAUCAGGAGGAACACCGGUGGCGAAAGCGGCCCACUGGCCCGAUACUGACGCU